rnacentral:rRNA from 1 species
CUCUUGACAUCCAGAGAACUUUCCAGAGAUGGAUUGGUGCCUUCGGGAACUCUGAGACAGGUGCUGCAUGGCUGUCGUCAGCUCGUGUUGUGAAAUGUUGGGUUAAGUCCGCAACGAGCGCAACCCCUAUCCUUUGUUGCCAGCGAUUCGGUCGGGAACUCAAAGGAGACUGCCGGUGAUAAACCGGAGGAAGGUGGGGAUGACGUCAAGUCAUCAUGGCCCUUACGAGUAGGGCUACACACGUGCUACAAUGGCGUAUACAAAGAGAAGCAACCUCGCGAGAGCAAGCGGACCUCAUAAAGUACGUCGUAGUCCGGAUUGGAGUCUGCAACUCGACUCCAUGAAGUCGGAAUCGCUAGUAAUCGUAGAUCAGAAUGCUACGGUGAAUACGUUCCCGGGCCUUGUACACACCGCCCGUCACACCAUGGGAGUGGGUUGCAAAAGAAGUAGAUAGCUUAACCUUCGGGAGGGCGUUUACCACUUUGUGAUUCAUGACUGGGGUGAAGUCGUAACAAGGUAAGCGUAGCGAG